rfam:Aedes aegypti strain Liverpool supercont1.78 genomic scaffold, whole genome shotgun sequence.
GGCUCGGUAGCUUAAUUGGUAAAGCAAUCGUCUAUCAUACAAGAGUCGUGGGUUCUAAUCCCACCUGACCA